AGGAAAAGGAUGCGCUGGGUCGCUGAACCACCGGCUUGUGGUAGGUCUCUCGGCGGGCAGUUAAAGGCUGGGAUAGGCUCCCCUAGCUCCUAGUUGUGGGGCCUGCGUUAGCAGAGGACUUGGCGAGCGCUGAGUCCGGUCUCAGAGAAGUGAUAAAGCUAUGUGACAUUUUAGAUACAUGGACAACAGAAAGACGGAAUUGGACAAAGAAUGAAAAUGCAGGGAAGAAAUAAAUCAGCAAACAAAACACUGAACGUGAAAUUGGAAAGUGGUUGUAAUGGGAAGGAUGAAGAUGUCCCAAAGGAAGUAACACUGGCAACAACUUUCACAUUAAAGAAACUUUUGGGGAAAUUUUACAAAUUUAAAUACAAAGGGUAAAACACUGGAAGCGAUCCAUACUUAGAAAGGAAUAUGACAAUUCACUAAAGCAAAGCAAGAUGCUUACUUCAUAUCAUAAAUUACAUGAUUUAUGUGCUAAGAAGCUGUUGUGAUUUUCAAGAAUCUCGAGGAAGCUCCCAAUAGCUAUCUCAUUCUGCCACAACAAAGCAGAUAUCUCUUAAGUGCUUACUAAGAAGCCCAUGUGACUUUCACAUCUGCCUAUGCACCUGUCUGCAACUACCCCAGAGUAUAAUAGACUGUUCUCUUCCACCUUUUAAAUCUCAUUCAUGCAAGUGCCUCCUACUGGAAAACUGUAAUCCAGAAUCAUUUCGGGGAGAGGAUUCUGGGAAACUGUUCACUGGCUUCCCUUCUGUGAUACAAAAAGAGGAUCUUAAAGCAGCUUGGUCGUUGUGGUAGGCAGAAAAAUUGCCUUCCAGAGAUGUUCGAUCCCUGCAACCUGUGAAUAUAUUACUUUAUAUGCGAACAGAAACUUCAGAGAUGGUAUUAAGUUUACUUUAAAAAUAGAGAAAACAUCCUGGAUUAUUCACAUGAUCCUAGUGUGAUCACAUGUGUCCUUAUUAAAACUGGAAGAGGGAGACAGAAGACUGAGUCAGAGAGAUGCAAGAAAAUUCAAAGUGUGAGAGGGACUCCUACCCACCAUUGCUGGUGUGAAAGAUAGAGAAAAGGGGCCAGAAGCCAAGGCAUGGAGGCAGCAUCUACAAGCUAGAUAUCACCUUCAUCUGACAGCCUCAAAGGAAACAGGAAUGCUAGUGCUACAAUUGCAACAACCUGAAUGUACAAUAAAGCAAUUCUCGACCGGGCACAGUGGCUCAUGCUUGUAAUCCCGGCACUUUGGGAGGUCGAAGCAGGCGGAUCACCUGAGGUUGGGAGUUCGAGACCAGCCUGGCCAACAUGGAGAAACCCAUCUCUACUAAAAAUACAAAAUUAGCUGGGCGUGGUGGUGCACACCUGUAAACCCAGCUACUCGGGAGCCUGAGGCAGGAGAAUUGCUUGAACCCGGGAGGCAGAGAUUGUGGUGAGCCAAAAUCUUGCCGUUGCAUUCCACCCUGGGCAACAAGAGCAAAACUUCAUCUCAAAACAAAAAAAAAACAAAACAAAACAAAACAAAAAAACCAAUUCUCACUUAGAGCCUUUAGAAAGGAACAGAGCUCUACUGACUCCUUCAUUUCUGCUUGGUGAGAAAUUCAUCUGACUUUUGCCCUAGAGAACUGAAGGUUAAUCAAUUUAUGUUGUUCAAGCCACUGAGUUUGUAGUAAUUUGCUACUGCAGCAAUGGGAAACUAAUACAAUGGUCAUGCUGAGUUCAUAACAGGCCUCUAGAAAUAACGAGGACAUAAGUGGAAACUCAGUCAAAAAGUCUAGCAGUAAGGAUUGAACCCAUUGAAAUGUAGGGCUACAAUUAAAAUAAAUGUAGAGAUUAUGAGUACAAAUUUUAAAAAUAUAAAUUCUGUAAAUUCUGAUAAUAUAGAAAUUAAGUAAUUAAGGAAGAGAAGAACUAGAGGAAAAUGGCUAGCUUUUUCUAUGGUAGUAAGUUCAUCUUUCAUAACUGAGAUCAAACCAUCAUUGUAACUAGAUAAAAUAAUAUAAAAACUCAGAUACUUUUAAUGAUAAAGAUAAACAUUGGAGAAAUAAAAUAAUUAACCAAAAUUUGGGUAGUAGAGAAGUAGAAGGGAAAGGUGGAGAAAGUGGAAAUAUACUAAUUCUACCAUUGUUCAUUAUAAGCAAAGAAUACUAUCUAAAGAAGAGAGGAUUAAAUGUGUUUUUUAUAAUUAAAGCAAAACUAGCAGAUUAAAAAUAUAACCCUUCCCAAGCUUCAGAAGAAAUACACAAAAAAGUAAAGAAAAUAUAUUAAAGACUUUUAAAACAGAAAACAUAAUGUGAAAUAACUUGACAAACUAAGCCCGUAAGUGCCUACCAUUUAAAUAAAAUCAGCUAAAGUCACUUUUUAAAGGAUAUGUUUUCAGAUCUCAUUACAUAGCAAAACCCCUGUACUUAAAAAUGACUCAGAAACACUAACAUUAAAUGAUGGAGAGAGUUAAACCAUGCAAAUGCAAACAAAAAUAAAUCAGGGUUCAUACUUUUAAAAUUGGACAUGUUGAAUUUAUCGCAAAAAGCAUUAUAAUAGAAAAAAUAGUGAAACACUUUGUUGGUUUUUUUUCUUCAACUUUUAUUUUAAGUUCCUGGGGUACAUGUGCAGGAUAUGCAGGUUUGUUACAUAGGUAAAUGUGUGUCAUGGUGGUUUGCUGUGCAGAUCAAACCGUCACCUAGGUGUUAAACUCUGCAUGGAUUAGCUAUCCUUCCUGAUGCUCUCCCUCCCCGUACCCUCCUGACAGCCCUCAGUGUGUGUUGUUCCCCAGCCAUGUGUCCAUGUGUUAUCAUUUAGCUCCCACUUUCCCACUUAUAAGUGAGAACGUGUGGUGUUUGGUUUUCUGUUCUUUCAUUAGUUUGCUGAGGAUAAUAGCUUCCAGCUCCAUCCAUGUCCCUGCAAAGGACAUGAACUCAUUCCUUUUUAUGGCUGCAUAGUAUUCCGUGGUAUAUAUGUACCACAUUUUCUUUAUCCAGUCUAUCAUUGAUGGGCAUUUGGGUUGAUUUCAUGUCUUUGCUAUUAUGAAUAGUGCUGCAAUGAACAUACACAUGCAUGUAUCUUUAUAAUAGAAUGAUUUAUAUUCCUUUGGUUUUAUACCCAGUAAUGGGAUUGCUGGGUCAAAUGGUAUUUCUGCUUCUAGAUCUUUAGAGAAUCUCCACACUGUCUUCCACGGUAGUUGAACUAAUUUACAUCCCCACCAACAGUGUAAAAGCCUUCUGUUUUCCUUGCAACCUCGCCAGCAUCUGUUGUUUCUUGACUUUUUAAUAAUUGCCAUUCUGACUGGCAUAAGAUGAUAUUUCAUUGUGGUUUUGAUUUGCAUUUCUCUAAUGAUCAGUGAUGUUGAGCUUUUUUUCAUGUUGUUGACUGCAUGAAUGUCUUCUUUUGAGAAGUUUCUGUUCGUGUCCUUGGCCCACUUUUUAAUGUUUUUUUUUUCUCGUAAAUUUGUUUAAGCUUAGUGGAACACUUUGUAAUGAUAAAGGUUGCAAUUCCCAUCAGAGAUCCAACAAUUAUGAAAAUCCAUGUGCUAAAUAAUAUAGCAUUAAUUUUCAUAAGGCAAGCAUUUCAAGAGUAAAAAGAGAAGAAUAAAAUCAUAUUAGUAGUGAAGGGUUUUAAUACGUCUCUCUCAGUCCAUAAUAGAUCCCAGAGGACAAAAAAUCCCCACAUAGAUCUCAAUCUCCUAAUUAGUAAAGUAUAUAUAAUUGACAAAUAUUGAACCAACCAUAUUAAUGUCAGGAAAAGGACUAAAUUUAAGGUUCUCAGAUUCCCAGUAUGCUGUUUUCUUGCCCCUGAAACUGUGAUUUUCGUCUAUAUUAAAUUAUAUGCAAAAGAAUGAUGUCGGACUUAUACCUCAGGCCAUACACGAAUAACUUGAAAUAAAACAAAGGCCCUACAGCAAUAGCUAAAACUACAAAACUCUUAAGAGAAAACAUAGGUUUUAGUCUUCAUGACUUUGGAUUUGGCAAUGGCUUCUUAGAUGUGACACCAAACACACAAGUGACAAAAAAAGUAGAAACACCGGACCUCAUAAAACUUAAAAGCUUUAGUGCCUCAAAAGCCACUAUCAAUAAAAUGAAUGGACAUCCCAGAGAAUGAGAUAAACUAUUUUCAAACUGUAUAUCACAUAAGUGACUAAUAUGUAAAAUAUGUAAAGAACUCCUCCAGCUCAGCAUGAAAAAGAGAAAACACCCAAAUAAAAAGUGUGCAAAGGUCUUGAAUAGACAUUUUUCCAAAGUAGGUAUACAGUUGAUCAAUAAGCACAUGAAAAAAAUAUUCAAGAUCGUUAAUCAUCAGGAAAAUGCAAAUCAAAACCACAAUGAGAUACUACUGCAUACCAAUUGGUAUGGCUAUAAUAUUAAUUUUAAAAAACAAUAAAAAGCGUUGCUGAGAAUGUGGAGAAAUUGGAACCCUCAAUCAUUGCUGGUGGGAAUGUAAAAUGGUGCAGCUGCUAAAAAAAGCCUGGCAUUGUUCUCAAAUGGUUAACCAUAGAGUUACCAUUUCAUCCAGCAAUUCUAUUUCUGGGUAUAUACUUGUGAGAAAUGAAGACGUAUGUCCACCCAGAAACAUGAACAUGAUUAUUUAUAGUAUCAUUAUUUAUAACAGCAAAAUUGAAUCAACUCAAAUGUCCAUCCACUGAUUCAAUACAUAAAAUGAGAUGCAUCCAUGCAAAUAAAUAUGAUUCUGCAAUGCAAAAGAUGAAGUAUUGAUACAUACUACAAUAUGGAUGAACCUUAAACAAAAUGCUAAGUGCAAGAAGCCAGUCGCAAAGGAACACACGAUUCCAUUUACGUUAAAUCUCUGGAAUAAGCAAAUUCACAGAUACAAAAAUAGAGUAGAAAUUGCUUAGCACUGGGGAAUGGAGGAAAUGGGCAUGACCGCUAAAGGGCUAAAGGGAAUGGAGUGCCUUUUUGGGUGAAAAUGUUCUAAAAUUGGUUGCGGCAAUAAUUUUACAACCUUGCGAAUAUACUAAAAGUGUGCUAGAUUAUACACUUUUAAAUGGCAAAUUGCAUGGCAUGUAAGUAAUCACAAUCAAUAUCAUACACACACACGUACACAUAUGUUUACACUGAGAAACAGCACCCAUGUUUACCCAGAGAAGAUUAGUGUAGGGUUUUGCAGUGUGACAGUCCAUGCACGUUGUCACUGAUCUGCUGCCUCACCUUUUUGAUGUAGGUAUUAGAGACAGACUUGUAACUCCUUCAGCUCCUGCGGUAUCUUCAGCUUCAUCUUCUCUGACUGUUGGGCCAGGUGUGUGUUUAGCUUCCCGAUGAAGGACAUUGACUUCUCUUGCACUUCAUCUGCAUCAUCCAAGUUGAAGGUUUAGAGGUCGCGGGAAACUGAUGUGGAUUUCUGCUUAUCUUUGGGAAUUCUGGUUAUCCCUUUUCUCCACCAUUUUGCAGGCAUCUUUCCUUCCUUACUGCCUGUCCUGCUGUCUUCAGAGUAAACACAAGACUCAGAAGUAAUGGGAAAAUAUAGAUUUCUUUACCACUUCCUACAAUAGCAUAUAAUCAAAUAAUGCCUAUAAUAAAUGCUUUAUUCUAUAUUACUUGUAGUGGUUCUGUUGCAAUUGUGAUACAUGUCUGGUUUCAUAAUGUUUCCAGAUAGUCUCUUACAUCUUAUCAGCCUGAACAAUAUUAUUGCCUGCAUAGAUUCCCCACAUGGCAAAUCUACAUGCAGUUGUCCCAGAAAAUAAAAGCUGUCCCAGACAGCCUUUCCAACUUUUAUCUUCUGACAAUAUUAUCUCACAACAACAGAUUACACCUUAGCUACUCCCUUAAAUCACAUUUUGCCCCUCCCAUCUUCUUCACAUCAGUGUUAUGCUUUAUUGUGCUCGGUGAUAUAAUUUGGAAUUUGUAGCUAUAGACAACAUUUCUGUCUUUGCCAAGCAGUUAAUUAAGGUGUUACUAUAACCUCACUGCAAAUGUAAUCUAAAGGAUUAAAGUAUGACUCAAACUUACCUAUCUCAAGAUAGUCAGAUAAGCUAUAUUUUGGGAAACUAACAUUGAAUGAGCUUCUACAUUAUGCUUAUCACAUCCUCUCAUUUACUACUAAAAACCUUGCAUGAUUAAUAUAGUUUUGCCUAUUUCACAAAUGAAAAAACUGAGGCACAGAGAUGUUACUAUGAAAACAAUGACUCUAAUGUACGUAACUGUGAAUGGACUUGAUUUGGUUUCUUCCUGUAGAAAGCAUGUCAAUGGGCUCUCCCAUAUACUUUUUCGAUUUCUCUCCCCUGCUCAUCACACAUUUUAACUCUGUCCCUGACUAUACAUUGGCCUUAUUCUCAUCAGCUGCAGAUGUGGUUUUCCCACAAGACUGUGGAGUUUCUGGCAACAACUAGGCUUCAUAUGUUCCCAGUUGAACAACUCCAAUAGAAAAAUAACUUUCUUCUGAAAGUCUUCCAGGGGAG
rnacentral:lncRNA from 1 species